AUUGAACGCUGGCGGCAGGCCUAACACAUGCAAGUCGAGCGGAUGAAGGGAGCUUGCUCCUGGAUUCAGCGGCGGACGGGUGAGUAAUGCCUAGGAAUCUGCCUGGUAGUGGGGGAUAACGUCCGGAAACGGGCGCUAAUACCGCAUACGUCCUGAGGGAGAAAGUGGGGGAUCUUCGGACCUCACGCUAUCAGAUGAGCCUAGGUCGGAUUAGCUAGUUGGUGGGGUAAAGGCCUACCAAGGCGAGGAUCCGUAACUGGAGUGAGAGGCUGAUCAGUCACACUGGAACGGGGACACGGUCCAGACUCCUGCGGGAGGCAGCAGUGGGGAAUAUUGGACAACGGGCGAAAACCUGGUACAGCCAUGGCGAGUGUGAGAAGGAGGUGUUCCGAUUGUAAAGCAGUUUAAGUUGGGAGGAAGGGCAGUAAGUUAAUACCUUGCUGUAUUGACGUUACCAACAGAAUAAGCACCGGCUAACUACGUG
rnacentral:rRNA from 1 species